rnacentral:rRNA from 1 species
AUCAACUUUCGAUGGUAGGAUAGAGGCCUAUCAUGGUGGUAACGGGUAACGGGGUGUUAGGGCACGACACCGGAGAGGGAGCCUGAGAAACGGCUACCACAUCCAAGGAUGGCAGCAGGCGCGCAAAUUACCCAAUCCCGACACGGGGAGGUAGUGACAAUAAAUAACGAUACGGGGUUCUUUAGGAUCUCGUAAUUGGAAUGAGUACAAUUUAAAUCUCUUAACGAGGAACAAUUGGAGGGCAAGUCUGGUGCCAGCAGCCGCGGUAAUUCCAGCUCCAAUAGCGUAUAUUAAAGUUGUUGCAGUUAAAAAGCUCGUAGUUGAAUUUCGGGGUUAGUAGGUUGGUCAUGCCUCUGGUAUGUACUGGUCUCACAGAUUCCUCCUUCCUGAUGAACCGUAAUGCCAUUAAUUUGGUGUUGCGGGGAAUUUGGACUGUUACUUUGAAGAAAUUAGAGUGUUUAAAGCAAGCUAACGCUUGAAUACAUUAGCAUGGAAUAAUGAAAUAGGACGUUCGAUCCUAUUUUGUUGGUUUCUAGGAUUGACGUAAUGAUUAAUAGGGAUAGUUGGGGGCAUUAGUAUUCAAUUGUCAGAGGUGAAAUUCUUGGAUUUAUUGAAGACUAACUACUGCGAAAGCAUUUGCCAAGGAUGUUUUCAUUAAUCAAGAACGAAAGUUAGGGGAUCGAAGACGAUCAGAUACCGUCGUAGUCUUAACCAUAAACUAUGCCGACUAGGGAUCGGAUGAUGUUAAUUUUUUAAUGACUCAUUCGGCGCCUUACGGGAAACCAAAGUGUUUGGGUUC